rfam:Felis catus isolate Cinnamon breed Abyssinian chromosome X, whole genome shotgun sequence.
GCCUAGGUGGCUCAGUUGGUUGAGUGUCUGACUCUUGAUUUCUGCUCAGGUCAUGAUCUUACAGUUGUGGGAUCAAGUCCCACAUCAGGCU